UACAGAGGGGGCAAGCGUUGUUCGGAAUUACUGGGCGUAAAGGGCGCGUAGGCGGCCUGCUAAGUCGAACGUGAAAUCCCCGGGCUCAACCCGGGAACUGCGUCCGAUACUGGCAGGCUUGAAUCCGGGAGAGGGAUGCGGAAUUCCAGGUGUAGCGGUGAAAUGCGUAGAUAUUGGGAGGAACACCGGUGGCGAAGGCGGCCCCCUGGACCGGUACUGACGCUGAGGCGCGAAAGCGUGGGUAGCAAACGGG
rnacentral:rRNA from 1 species